rnacentral:misc_RNA from 1 species
UCGAUCCGUGCACGGUGAGGACCGCACGCACGGUUCGGAGGGAGGGACGGGUAAAACCGUCCCUAUCCCUAU